rnacentral:rRNA from 1 species
GGUAUUUCAUACAUGUUUGAAAUAUGCCUAAGGAUGGGGCUGCGGCCGAUCAGGCUGUUGGUGAGGUAAUGGCUCACCAAACCUUUGACCGGUACGGGCCAUGAGAGUGGUAGCCCGGAGAUGGACACUGAGACAAGGGUCCAGGCCCUAAGGGGCGCAGCAACCGCGAAACCUCCACAAUGCACUCACGUGCGAUGGGGCUAUCUCGAGUGCCACCUGAUGAAGGUGGCUUUUCCUUGGUAUUCAAAGCCUUGGGAAUAAGAGGGGGGCAAGACUGGUGUCAGCCGCCGCGGUAACACCAGCCCCUCGAGUGGUGGGGAUGAUUAUUUGGCCUAAAGCGUCCGUAGCCGGCCGUGUAAGUCUCCCGUUAAAUCCAGCGUCUCAAGCGUUGGACUCGGGAGAUACUGUACGGCUAGAGAGUGGGAGAGGUCAGCGGUAUUCUGGGGGUAGGGGCGAAAUCCUUUGAUCCCCGGAGGACCACCAGUGGCGAAGGCUGCUGACUAGAACACGUCUGACGGUCAGGGACGAAAGCUGGGGUAGCGAACCGGAUUAGAUACCCGGGUAGUCCCAGCCGUAAACGAUGCAUGCUAGGUGUUGGGUUGGCCACGCGCCACCCCAGUGCCGCAGGGAAGCCGUUAAGCAUGCCGCCUGGGAAGUACGAUCGCAAGAUUGAAACUUAAAGGAAUUGGCGGGGGAGCACCACCAGGCGUGAAGCCUGCGGUUUAAUUGGAGUCAACGCCGGGAACCUUACCGGGAGCGACAGCAGAGUGAAGGCCAGAUUGAAGAUCUUGCCAGACGAGCUGAGAGGAGGUGCAUGGCCGUCGCCAGUUCGUGCCGUGAGGUGUUCUCUUAAGUGAGAUAACGAACGAGACCCGUGCCACAUGUUGCCACCAGUAUCUAAAGGAUAGCUGAGCACUCUUGUGUACCGCAGCCGAUAAGGCUGAGGAAGGUACGGGCAACGGCAGGUCAGUAUGCCCCGAAUCUCCCGGGCCACACGCGGGCUGCAAUGGUAUAGACAGAGGGCUGCCACCCCGAAAGGGGGAGCCAAUCCCUAAACUGUACCUCAGUUGGGAUCGAGGGUUGCAACCCACCCUCGUGAACAUGGAAUGCCUAGUAACCGCCAGUCAUCAUCUGGCGGUGAAUACGUCCCUGCUCCUUGCACACACUGCCCGUCGAACCACCCGAAUGAGGUUUGGGUGAGGAAUGGUCGAAUGUUGGCCGUUUCGAACCUGGGCCUCGUAAGGAGGGUUAAGUCGUAACAAGGUG